rnacentral:tRNA from 1 species
GGUUCUGUAGUGAAAGUUCAUGUUGGGUUGCAAACCCUUCGAUGCGUAUUAAAAUUACGCCGGAAUCU